UUCGUUAUAACCUUUGCAAUGCAUAAAAAGUAUGCACCACUUCAUUUGUUUUAUGCAUUCAAUGGCAUAUCUGGCGUUUAUUAUAGUUUCCGUGAAUAUAAUGUCAUUUAUGUUAUUCUUGGGACUUAAUUAAAUUGUUAUUAGCCAACCGACAGCUGCCGUCAUGGCGGAGUUCUAAAACCUCUUUUCCCGUUCGCAAUUUGGUCACAAAGUUUCUAAAAGUGCCUGCCGGGGUAACUCCGGGACCACAAUCGAAAGAAAGCAGAUUAUUUAUCUGUCUUCAGUUCAUCGGAAUCCAUGAAGCACCACCGAUCUUGCCACCGAUUGCGAUUUUUCCAUUAACACAAAUUAUCAUCAUCUGAAAGAUGCAGCACACUCCAGUUGAUCCGGAGAACCUCAAGGAGCACGCAUACAAGCGGAACAUAUUUCAACGUGGUUCAACGACGGCAAAGUUGUGAGAAGACUUACCGCCUGCAUAUUUAACUACGUACUUAACUGUGUUUAUUUUAUUGUAACUCAAAGGAAAUGAAAAUAAAGAUGUAUAGUUUUCUUUUCUCUCUCCAAUCAAACUUGUUGUAUUAUGCUUUUCUGUUUUGGUCAAGAAAAAACAAAAAAAAAAACAAACAAAAUUGAAUAUGCAUUCCUUAACGAAUAUAAUCGAUGUAUGCAUUUCAAUGCAUAAACGUCUCUUACAUACACAGAAAAAAAUUGUCCGGUAAACGCGACCACAAAACUGUGUUCAAAUCUACCAUGGCAUAUUAUGGCAUAAGUAACAGACUGUAGAUUCAAAUUAACUGAUUUGUUGUGAAUAUUACUAUGCCUCCGCCAAAAAUGUGGAAGUUAUGAUGACUAUUAUUUGCAGUUAAAAAUACCAUGUGUUGUAGUAUCAAAUCUACUACUUUUGUGGUAAUAUUUACCAUGCGCAUCGAACGUUCUUACCAUGACGUAUCUGUUUUACUAUGUUUAUUGUCAACCCAAGCGCAUUGCACCGACGUUUUUCAGCAGACAUUAAUUUCGUUCAAAUUUACCACAAUAAUGGUAAUUAACCGUGCCGAAGGAGGUAGGAUUGACGUUUGGCCAUUUUGUGAAAAUAAAAGUAGCAGUUCGUUUGCAGAAGGCUUUACUUUCGCCUAUAUUUGCUAAUUUAACUUAUUUUUGGUAAUAUUUUGGUCAAAAAGCGAAAAAAACGGUAAACUAGAAGCCCCGGUGUGAAGGUAAGUUUGAAUAUUCCAUCUCAAUCAAUGCAACUGAACAUAUUUUUUCAUUUCGUUCGCAGGUGAAGACCGGAAGGUUGAGUUUUGGAAUGGAUGUUUUUUUUUCCUCGGAGGUAAGAACGUAAUUGAAAAAAUCAGAUGCAAAUUAAUAAUUGCAACAAAUUUGUAGUUACAGAACUCCUCAACAAAAGUGAAUCUUGUGGUCGUCUACAGGAGCACAGAAGAUUAUUGGAAAUAUUUCAAGUUGCGGUCUGUAUAACAUCCAAGAGUGAAUUGCGAGAUAACUACACCAAUGUGUGUGAGCUGAUCCUGAUACGAGCGAAUAAAAAUAACAAAUCAAUAAAACGUAUUAAUACCGAACAACAAAUUGAUCAUUUGAUUUCUAUUUGUAUACAAUUAUGAAUACACCACAAUACCAUACGAUCAUAAACAAAACUAACAGUAAAACAAACUUCAAUUGUAGUCAAAUAUACUAUGGUCGGAAAAAUCUAGUUAAUGUAAAUUUCGUUAAUUCGACUAUUAACAUGGUAAAAUGGGAAGACCUCAAAAUACUACAAACCUAGUAAAAAAUACUGAGAGAAGAGAAAAUGAGGGCAUAGUAAAAAUGACAACAUUCAUUAUUACAAUAAUAUCGAUAUGUAGUCUGCUGAAAAUUGCAGGUGCUUUGCGCUUAAUUUAACCCCCUGAA